rnacentral:tRNA from 1 species
AGCUGCGUGGCACGGGCUGCGACGCUUCGCAGCUCACUCGUAAUGAGCAGGUCAGCGGUUCGAGUCCGCUCGUCGGCUC